ACCCCAGUGGAUCAGGACCCCACAGGUAAGAAUGCAGUGUCCAGAUGGACUGAUGGAUGGCUUCUCUCGCUGGCUUCUGUGAAGCUAUUGCGUUCUUUGCUGAAUGUCAUGAGAGGACUUGGUUCAUCUUCACUGACCACUUGCUACAGCUCGGCCAAACUGAGGAAACAUGGCAAGGCCCCACGGAUGUCGCCAAACCCACAGGCUGUCCCUGCCAGGGAGCAGUGCCUGUCUUUGCAGAGAGCUGCUUGCAGCAUAUGCUUCCUUCUGCCUGAGCUCACACAGAAGCAGAUUGCGCCAGAUUCCCUGCUGGCUAUUCUCCCCGCAGCCUGGAUUUACAAGAUGGUGCAUUAAUAGGCCCCGUGUUUGUCCCAGGCAAGGAGUUCUGUGGUGUCCAUAGGAGCUUUGAAUUAAGGACUCCUGGGUUUU
rnacentral:lncRNA from 1 species